rnacentral:rRNA from 1 species
GACGGAGGAUGCAAGUGUUAUCCGGAAUCACUGGGCGUAAAGCGUCUGUAGGUGGUUUAAUAAGUCAACUGUUAAAUCUUGAGGCUCAACCUCAAAAUCGCAGUCGAAACUAUUAGGCUAGAGUAUAGUAGGGGUAAAGGGAAUUUCCAGUGGAGCGGUGAAAUGCGUAGAGAUUGGAAAGAACACCGAUGGCGAAGGCAGCUCACUACGGGGUCAUUGACACUGAGGCACGAAAGCGUGGG